rnacentral:lncRNA from 1 species
UUCUUCAUUCGAAUUGCCCAGAAUGUGUAGUUAGUUGUGUUUAACAUUGGACAAGAUAUCGAAGAGGUUCCUUCUUUAGGUUUUGCGGUAACCGUAGUAAUAUCACCCAUCUCUCACGAUUUACGAGCUCUGAUACCAAUUAUUGUUCUAAUGUAGAAAAUGAAAUCAAAUAUUAUAAGAAGCCACUUUUAUUAGCUUAAGAAAAUAUCUCAAAACUUAAACUCUCACAAGAAUCUCUAACUUCAAACUCAUAAGUUCAUGGCACAU